CCAGAAUCCCUCCUUCCCGAAGAGCAGCUCUCCUCCGCAGACAGCGCGGGUCACAGGCUGGGGGUCACAGGGGGGCCUGCCGACAGCCAAUCAUCUGGCUCGGGGGGUUUUCCCUCCGUGUGGCGCUGAGCGGCUGGGCCGGCCCCCCCUCCUCAUAUAAGGUAAAACAAAGUCUUUAGCUGCGGCAGGCCGGCCCGCUUCUUCAAAAGCCUGGAGUCUGGAGCCGGGAACCCCCACUCCUCUCACUCCAGGUCCAGACAGUCCACGCUCCACCCGCGGCCAAAGGGGAGACCAGGGGCCGACUAGACCCCCAGCCGGACACAGGCCGCAGGCCACUCCACCCCACGCGGCCCCUGGAACCAGCUCUGGGGGCACCAGGAUGGCACACACACCACUGGCACCUUGAGGAGAGGCAGGGAGCUCGCUUUACCUACUGACAGUGCAGGGGGUUAGGUGUAGAAGAGGAACCCACCAGAGAAGCCAGCCAGCACGAGGUCCAGGCCAACAGACGGGGUAAGAUAAGUGUCUCUCCACAGUGAAUCUGACGGGAGCCAAGAAGGGAGUCAACAGUGUACAGUAAGCGACUGGAGGAUGACGUGGACGUAUGGAGCCUCUCCUGCCGCACAUGGCCGUCUAGCCCAAGGUGCAGUGCUGCAUCUCUGGUCAAUUGGGAGUCUGAGAUGAAGCACUGUAGCUCGGGAGGGAGGGCAGCAGCUCCAGACCCCAUGCUACAUUCACUCACACACUCAAACACCACCAAAUCUGUAGCCCCAUAAUGCACGCCGCAGGCUUACCAUCUGAGGCACGCUAUAAUAGCCAUUGAAAGGUUAAUUACCAUAGUACUACUGUACUAUGACAUAACACAGGGCCUUUAGUAAUGCACUACGACUCGGUCAUUGCCAAGCUAACAAGAAAUGUAUAACACUGUGUUUUAACGGGUUAAGGUGUAAAGUGUGAAGGUGUUCAUGAUCAUUUUUUUUUGUUGCACAUUCAGAAACCUGUCCUUUUCAGCAAUAAUCACUGCUACACCGACUGUGUUCUUAUUUGCUGUUUUUGGGACACCCUGCAAAAAAGAGACUCGUACACAUCCAUAUCACACCUAAUGCUACAACAUGUUAAAGCAUUUUUGAAGUUGACAAAAAAUGUAUAUUUCAAGGAUGUUUACAGACCAUUUUAUACAGAAAAAAAUAUACUGCCUUGUGUGCAGUGCUGCAUGGAGUAUUUACGGGGCCAUAUUUAUGUCUUUGGGGGGAUUGUACAGGAAGACGUUGCCAAAUCCAUUCCAAAUGUUCCCUUACCCCGGGGUCCAGUUUUCCCAGGAAUCCCUUGGGCAAUCAUUAAUGGGGGAUUCCUGGAAAUACUGUUCUUGGGGUUGGGGCCUGACUUCAUGUCUUUACACAGUGCAUAAUGCCCUAUUCGAGGAGGGAAAUUGCUUUUAUUAGUAUUUUAUAUAGUUUUUAUUAAUAGUUGUUAGGCCUAUUACUGUUAUACAGUUGUAAUUAUUCGUUUUUUUGUAGAAUCAAUUAUUUAUGCUGAUUGCCAAUAAAUUAUAAAUGUCUAAUGUGACUCAUUCUUCUCACUACAUAAUGAAACAUUUUAUCAGGGCACAGUAUUCAUUAACAACCAACCAAAUGGAAAACAGUGACAUCUAUGUGCCAGUUGAAUAUAACAGCCAAGCUCUAGGCUACAGUGUCCACAAGGGGGCACAGUAUGAUUUUCCACUCCAUUAUUUCAAGAAAGCCCCACUGGCUGUCGACACAUGCUAGAACAGAUGACCAGAAUUAGGGAUUAUUAUAGCUGUGGGUCUUUUGUUUCCUCUCUCAUGGAAAAUGCGGCUAUCUAAUCACACUGCUAUUUACAGUAGGCUUAUGUUGAUAAAUAUUUGGGAUCUCUAUGGAUUCCAUACAUACAAGCACUAUGCCUAUCAACAGGCUGAUUGAUGAGAAUAUGACAAGGGAACACUAUUUACUUGAGUGUGUAUUUGCUUUCUAAGACGUUUUGGUAUGUGGCGUUCCUCUCAGUUUGAUAUCCCCUCUACGGCAGCAGUGUGUUCAAUAGGCCUCCAUGGUGCCUAUGGCAGCAGGCUGCAAGGCUGAGGGGCAGCUGAAUAUUUCAGCCCUGUGUGAACAGUGGAGUAAAACUGUGAGCAGUCCCUUUAGAACGUGGUAGUAAAAAGAGGGAUUCUGAGCAUGCAGUGAGAGAGUGCAAGUGUGUGUAAGUGUGUGUGUGUGUGUG